rnacentral:rRNA from 1 species
UGGGGAAUCUUGGACAAUGGGCGCAAGCCUGAUCCAGCCAUGCCGCGUGAGCGAUGAAGGCCUUAGGGUCGUAAAGCUCUUUCGCCUGUGAAGAUAAUGACGGUAGCAGGUAAAGAAACCCCGGCUAACUCCGUGCCAGCAGCCGCGGUAAUACGGAGGGGGUUAGCGUUGUUCGGAAUUACUGGGCGUAAAGCGCACGUAGGCGGACCAGAAAGUUGGGGGUGAAAUCCCGGGGGCUCAACCCCGGAACUGCCUCCAAAACUAUUGGUCUAGAGUUCGAGAGAGGUGAGUGGAAUUCCAAGUGUAGAGGUGAAAUUCGUAGAUAUUUGGAGGAACACCAGUGGCGAAGGCGGCUCACUGGCUCGAUACUGACGCUGAGGUGCGAAAGUGUGGGGAGCAAACAGGAUUAGAUACCCUGGUAGUCCACACCGUAAAACGAUGAAUGCCAGUCGUCGGGUAGCAUGCUAUUCGGUGACACACCUAACGGAUUAAGCAUUCCGCCUGGGGAGUACGGUCGCAAGAUUAAAA